UACGUAGGGUGCAAGCGUUGUUCGGAAUUAUUGGGCGUAAAGCGCGUGUAGGCGGCUUUGCAAGUCGGGUGUGAAAGCCCUCAGCUCAACUGAGGAAGUGCGCCCGAAACUGCAGAGCUUGAGUACCGGAGAGGAUGGCGGAAUUCCCCAAGUAGAGGUGAAAUUCGUAGAUAUGGGGAGGAACACCGGUGGCGAAGGCGGCCAUCUGGACGGAUACUGACGCUGAGACGCGAAAGCGUGGGUAGCAAACAGG
rnacentral:rRNA from 1 species